UACAGAGGUGGCAAGCGUUGUUCGGAAUUACUGGGCGUAAAGGGCGCGUAGGCGGUCUUGUAAGUCUUGUGUGAAAUCCCUCGGCUUAACUGAGGAACUGCACGGGAUACUGCGAGACUUGAGAUCGGGGGAGGGAAGCGGAAUUCCGGGUGUAGCGGUGAAAUGCGUAGAUAUCCGGAGGAACACCGGUGGCGAAGGCGGCUUCCUGGACCGACACUGACGCUGAGGCGCGAAAGCUAGGGGAGCAAACGGG
rnacentral:rRNA from 1 species